rnacentral:sRNA from 1 species
CCAAGGACCCCCAAACUCUGCUCCGUGCACGUCAAAUGCUCCUUUCUCUUGGGUCCAACCCCCUACCCCUCUCCCUAACACCCCUCUUCUCAAGAAGACUCAGCCUCUCCCCGAGUCUGUCCAGGAAAACAGGAUGCCGGAGCCCAGGAGUCGUCAGCCUAGCAGUUGCCUGGCCUCCAGAUGCCUCCCAGGACACUCCCUUGAACAGUGAAUACGAUUUUGCCCUGGUCAACAUUGGACGAUUAGAGGCUGUGAGCGGCUUGUCCCGAGUCCAGCUCCUCCGUCCAGGGUCCCUGCAUAAAUUUAUCCCUGAGGAGAUUCUGAUUCAUGGCCGAGACUUCCGGCUGCUCAGAGUUGGUUUUGAGGCUGGAGGCCUAGAGCCUCAGGCUUUUCAGGUGACCAUGGCCAUUGUCCAAGCCAGAGCUCAGAGCAAUCAAGCCCAGCAGUAUUCGGGGAUAACCCUGAGCAAGGCUGGCCAGGGUUCUGGCUCCAGAAAACCACCAAUUCCUCUCAUGGAGACAGCGGAAGACUGGGAGACUGAGCGGAAGAAGCAGGCAGCCAGAGGCUGGAGGGUCAGCACGGUCAACGAGAGGUUCGACGUAGCCACUAGGCUCCGGUGUUUCUCCUCUUCCUUGAUUGUGUCUGGCAGCUCCUCCAGCAGUUUCCAGCUGAUUUUGAAUUCUCUGAGUUUUUCCUUCUUGCUCUUCAUGACAGUGUCAGGGUUCCUGACACCCUUACCUUCCUGAGAAAUACCCCCUGGGAGCGCGGAAAGCAGAGCGGACAGUUAAACUCCUAUACACAAGUCUACACCCCAGGAUACUCCCAGCCUCCAGCUGGGAACUCUUUUAACCUGCAGCUGUCUGUCUGGGACUGGGAUUUACGUUAUAGCAAUGCACAGAUACUACAAUUCCAGAAUCCUGGCUAUGACCCAGAACACUGUCCAGAUUCCUGGCUCCCUAGACCACAGCCAAGCUUCAUGGUUCCUGGACCCCCCAGUUCUGUGUGGCUCUUCUCUAGAGGAGCAUUGACCCCCCUGAAUCAGCUCUGUCCUUGGCGGCAGAGUCCUUGCCAGCAGAGUCCCUCCCUGCUGGCAGUCUCUUCUCGUUGGCUCCCUCGACCUGCUAUCUCCUCUGAAAGCCUGGCUGACCAGGAAUGGGGUCUCCCCUCACAUUGGGGAGCUUGCCCUUUACCUCCAGGGCUGCUGCUGCCUGGGUAUCUGGGACCCCAGAUCAGGCUCUGGAGACGCUGCUACCUGAGGGGAAGGCCUGAGGUCCAGAUGGGCCUCUCAGCUCCCACAAUCUCUGGCCUCCAGGAUGAGCUAUCCCAUCUUCAGGAGUUAUUACGGAAAUGGACACCAAGAAUAUCUCCUGAGGAUCACUCCAAGAAAAGAGAUCCACAUACCAUUCUCAAUCCCACUGAAAUUGCUGGCAUUCUCAAAGGCAGGGCAGAGGGGGAUCUGGGGUAGAGGAGGGUUCCGUCUAAUCUUUUUUUUUUUUUUUUUUUUUUUGUAUCUGGACUUGCAGCCUCAGCUUUCACACUUCAGCCCUUAAGUUCACUAAGAAGGUCUGAGUUUCUGCUGCAGAUGGUGGUGUUAACUGCUCCAACUCUUGUCUUGCUUAGUUCCUACAAAUAUUUUUGCUUCUUGUCAUUUGAAGGAUUAAGAAACAAAAACAAUCCAGAAAUUGAUCGGUUUUCUUAGGCCAAUCCCAUCCCUUCUGGAUAACCAGAUGUUAAAUCAUGAGAUCAGAGAUGCUGUUCAUCAGUCCCAACAAGAUGGCCUAGAAAUCGCAUUCUCACCUCGCCUUGCUGCUGCUUUAAUUCCAAGUUCUAUUUCUUCCCUUAUAGUUUUCUAUAGGAAUGAGGCGGAUACAGGAAACACCCUGUCUCCUCUGUAUUUUUGUAGUGGAAUUUCUAUUUAAGGGGCUCAUUAAAGCAUAGUAUUUAUACACA